UACGGAGGGUGCGAGCGUUGUCCGGAAUCACUGGGCGUAAAGGGCGCGUAGGCGGCCUGAUAAGUAGGGGGUGAAAUCCUGCGGCUUAACUGCAGGGCUGCCUUCUAAACUGUCAGGCUUGAGCACAGUAGAGGCAGGUGGAAUUCCCGGUGUAGCGGUGGAAUGCGUAGAGAUCCGGAAGAACACCGGUGGCGAAGGCGGUCUGCUGGGCAGUAGCUGACACUGAGGCGCGACAGCGUGGGGAGCAAACAGG
rnacentral:rRNA from 1 species